UUAUUGCCUAAACAGUGUUUCUUUAUUUCAGAGUUGAACAUUUUAUUGGCCUCAAAGGGCCUGUACAGUCUGUUUGUCAAGAGGUCAGGGUGUACAGUACUAAAUUCUGGAGUGGCGUAACUCUGUGUCAAAGUUCGGGCCCUUGGUUUAGGCCUAAGUGGUGAAACAGGAGUAUCUGUCCCAUCAACAUCUUGAAAGAGUUGAACAUUUUAUUGACCUCAAAGGGCCUGUACAGUCUGUUAGUCAAGAGGUCAGGGUAUACAGUACUAAAUUCUGGAGUGGCGUAACUCUGUGUCAAAGUUCGGGUCCUUGGUUUAGGCCUAAGUGGUGAAACAGGAGUAUCUGUCCCAUCAAAAUCUUGAAAGAGAGACAGAGGUUUCAGAGGAGGUAUGGCUGCCAUGGCGUGAAAAUUUAUAAAUGUGUUUAAAAAGACUGUAUUUGUUGUAAACUUUAUAUAGAGCAAAGAACAAAUUUUUUAAUUGGUAUGUGACCUAAACGAAUA